CUACGGGAGGCAGCAGUGGGGAAUUUUGGACAAUGGGGGCAACCCUGAUCCAGCCAUGCCGCGUGCGGGAAGAAGGCCUUCGGGUUGUAAACCGCUUUUGUCCGGGAAGAAAAGGCACUCCCUAAUACGGGGUGUUCUUGACGGUACCGGAAGAAUAAGCACCGGCUAACUACGUGCCAGCAGCCGCGGUAAUACGUAGGGUGCGAGCGUUAAUCGGAAUUACUGGGCGUAAAGCGUGCGCAGGUGGUUCGUCAAGUCUGAUGUGAAAUCCCCGGGCUCAACCUGGGAACUGCAUUGGAUACUAGCGAGCUCGAGUGUGGCAGAGGGGGGUGGAAUUCCACGUGUAGCAGUGAAAUGCGUAGAGAUGUGGAGGAACACCGAUGGCGAAGGCAGCCCCCUGGGCUGACACUGACACUCAGGCACGAAAGCGUGGGGAGCGAACAGGAUUAGAAACCCUUGUAGUCCU
rnacentral:rRNA from 1 species